rnacentral:rRNA from 1 species
CCUACGGGAGGCAGCAGUGAGGAAUAUUGGUCAAUGGGCGUAAGCCUGAACCAGCCAAGUCGCGUGAGGGAUGAAGGUUCUAUGGAUCGUAAACCUCUUUUAUAAGGGAAUAAAGUGCGGGACGUGUCCCGUUUUGUAUGUACCUUAUGAAUAAGGAUCGGCUAACUACGUGCCAGCAGCCGCGGUAAUACGGAGGAUCCGAGCGUUAUCCGGAUUUAUUGGGUUUAAAGGGUGCGUAGGCGGACUUUUAAGUCAGCGGGGAAAGUCUGUGGCUCAACCAUAGAAUUGCCGUUGAAACUGGUAGUCUUGAGUAUGUGUGAGGCAGGCGGAAUGCGUGGUGUAGCGGUGAAAUGCUUAGAUAUCACGCAGAACCCCGAUUGCGAAGGCAGCCUGCCAGGCCAUGACUGACGCUGAUGCACGAAAGCGUGGGGAUCAAACAGGAUUAGAUACCCCUGUAGUC